AACAGAGUGAAAAAUAAAAUUCCUCUUAUAAAAAAAUCCAGAAUUAUUUUUUACAAGACUAAGAUAAAUAAAUACAAAAUUUUAUCCUCACACUUAAUCCGAUCUCAUCCUGUCUACCAUUUUUUACUGUUUAGUUCUUAACCUGCAUAACAAUAAAGGGGUGAGCUUUAACAGCUCUGUAGGGACAUAAUCUCUUAUCACAAUAAAUUGACAAUAUUAAAUUAAGUGUCAUGAAAUCAUAUAACCAAAUAUCAAAUCAUUAUUGAUAAUAAUGCAUGAAUGCAAUUGAACCUCUUCGGCUACCCCCGUUAAUUUAUAUAAUAAAACAUGCGGACCUGCACGUCCCAUACCAUGCAUUUUACCCCUGCAGAGGUGGUUCGAAUGUUAUAAUAUACAAAUUAACCCCCUGUAACUCAAUCAUCCCGAUUUCCCCUUUUGUUAGUCAUCUUGCCUAAACUCUUCAUCGCCAGUCCCGAAUUACCCUUAAAGAAUCUGUGCACUGUGGGCUCACCUAAGAUUUGGUACCUGCUAAGAGUUUGGCUCAACUACACAAAAGAUAUUUCCAUCUACCCUCAUUUCCAGAAUUCCUUCCUCAACACCGAACUUCCAACUAUUCUCACACAUGAGUGAUGCACAAAUAAUCUCAUUUCAUCAUUCACAUGUACCACAACAUAUUCUCAGCGAAUAGCAUUUCACCAAUAAUUCUGUAACAAUAACAAGUAAACACCCAAGAGUAGUAAUUAUCCAAUUAGCAAACCAUAUCCCAUUAAUCAACAACAAGAUCAAUAAGAAGAAUAUAAUAUUUCACAAAAUUUAAUAAAAUCAAUCUCUGUAAAGGUCUGUCGUAUUUCCCCUACCUGGAUUCCAAAGCAUUGCUCCAUAUUAUUAACACAAGAAUCCACCACCUUGAUAAAGUCCUAUUCACAUGUAUAAGCAAAUCACUAAAUGCACAACUACAACUCUAAUCCUAUUUGAGUAAUUACUUGUGACUACUAAUUCAACACAAAUAGAUUCAAAUACUUUUAAGAAAUAAAUAAGAUGUGUUUGUAUAGUUGAUAAAGGAUCAGUACAAAUACUGCUUUAUCCGAAUUAGAUAUAUGUAGCUAAUAUAAUCAUUCCAACUCUAAACAUAAGGUGGUUUAUUAAUAUAGUAGACAUAUAGCUUGAAAACGUGAACCAUAAGUUUGGUUCUAACUCCAAUACAUACAUGCAUAUAUAGUCUUUGUGAUGAAAACAUGGAGAGUGGAAUGUAUAUAUUACCAUUUGCAACUUCAACCAGAUGCUUUACUUGAAAGAUGCAUAGAUAGUGUAGAUAUAAAACCAGUUGCAUAUAUAUUAUCCUUUAAAAUCAAAACAUGCUUUCUUUUGAAAUUAAUCAAUUCAUAAACUGAUGAGCUGAUGCCAUAUUUAUACAACUGUUUGCACAACAGCUCCUCUAAUCAAAUAUGCAGUAGAAAUGGUAUCCAUAUAAGCAUAACAGUCUUUUGCAUUCAACCAACAACUUUUAUAUAUAGUAGAUUAAAGAAAGCAUAUGCAUAAAACUAGCCCUAAAUAUUAGUGGCUAUAUAUAAGGGAUAAAUUUACUCCACUGCAACAAUCCAUCAUAUCAUACAAAAUCCAUGUUAUGAUCAGGACUAGUGGACAAAACACACAAUGAAUCACAACAUAAGAAGAGACCAACUACGACUUUGGUAAAUUGGUAGUUAAUCGAAUUCGAAUUGAACAUCAUACCUAUUUCAGACACUGAAUACUCCUUCGGUAAAGUAGCAUACGAGAACAAGCAGUGGCUUACUGAUUAUACAACACCUCCCUCUCUUGCAUUUUCAUUUAUUUCCCUAAGAGUUGCCUUCUCAAUACUACAGCCUCAUAAA
rnacentral:lncRNA from 1 species